UACGGAGGGGGCUAGCGUUGUUCGGAAUUACUGGGCGUAAAGCGCACGUAGGCGGCUUCUAAGUCGGGGGUGAAAUCCUGGAGCUCAACUCCAGAACUGCCUCGAUACUGGAAAGCUCGAGUCCGGGAGAGGUGAGUGGAACUGCGAGUGUAGAGGUGAAAUUCGUAGAUAUUCGCAAGAACACCAGUGGCGAAGGCGGCUCACUGGCCCGGUAUUGACGCUGAGGUGCGAAAGCGUGGGGAGCAAACAGG
rnacentral:rRNA from 1 species